rnacentral:lncRNA from 1 species
UUGCUCCCAUGUGGUUGCAUUAAGCCGCGCCUCUGAUCUCCAUGUGAGCAUGUUUGCAGCAGAGGUGGUGGAUCUUCUCCAUGGACCAGCCAGUGAACGCUGAAGUGAAAUAUCUCUUGUUAAAAGACAAAAAGACAAGUGCGAAGGAAAAAGAAUUUCACAUAGGAUCGACGUAUCGACGCGCUUGCUGCUUGAUGGGAUCCAACUCCCUAGUUGGGAUCCAGAGCAGGUUUGAUCUUCCCGGGUAUAGAAGGCCUGGUUACCAUUGUUGGACACUUGGACCUGCCACGCGCACUCUUUGCCAUCACCACCCGUCUGCAACUCUGCACCUGCACUACUGCUGCGAUUCCAAUAACUCCUUCAACUCUAAGCUGCUGUCCGUCCCCGCAUCCAG